AUGGCCUGGUCCCCUCUGCUCCUCACCCUGGUGGCUCACUGCACCGGAGACGGGACCCAGGCUGUGCAGACUCAGCCGCCCUCCGUGUCUGGGGCCCCGGGCCAGACGGCCACCAUCUCCUGCCCUGGAAGCAGCAGCAACAUCGAGGAUAAUUAUGUGAGCGGGUACCAACAGCUCCCAGGAACGGCACCCAGACUCCUGAUCUGCUAUGAUGACAGUAGAGCCUCAGGGGUCCCGAUCGAUUCUGUGGCUCCAAGUCUGGCAACUACGGCUCCCUGACCAUCCGUGGGCUCCAGCCUGAGAACGAGGCUGAGUAUUACUGCUACUCUUAUGAUGACAGCCUAAGUGGUCCCACUGGGGGAAGCCUGAGACACCCUAUGCGGGUGCAGAUCUGUGGGGUUCUGGCUGUGGACGCCACCCCCAGUGUGCUCUGGGUGAAAGUGUGA